UCUUAAGGAACUCCAGCAUCGACUCUCCAAGAGCACUCCGUGCUUCUCACCAGCGCGGGCACCAUCAGGGUGCCUGGGUCAGCUCCGGUAUCAAAUCUCGAGUCCACUUAUGCUUAGCUCUGAGGAGUCUUUCUCUUUCUGUUCUUCUCAGAUUGAAAACAAAAAUAGCAGCUAGGCUUGGUGACCCAUGCCUGUAAUCCUGGCACUUGAGAGGAUCGAAAGAUUGGAGACCAUGUAUAUGUUACACGGCUGAGCGAGGGCUGGACCUCAGCGAGCAAAACCAUGACAUGGAGCAGCUUUCUAAAGAUGCCAUGAAGAGGAAGCAGCAGGGAAGACAGAGGAAGAGGCAUUUCCCAGUGAUUCUGAAAGGCCUGGGGCACCUGACACUAAACCAGACAAAGACAGCUCGAGAGAAACAGAGCUCCCAGCCAAUGAUAUUCCAUAUUUGGGUCGAUUCGGGAACUCCUCAGCAAAAUGCUAGCAAAGCAGGACCAGAGAGACCUGCUGCAGAGCAUGAUGGGAAGAGAGAACUGACUACAGUAUGUCUGUAUUGGAUUUCCAGAAGCAGGACUUACAGACACUUGUGAGUUGCCAUGUGAGUGAGUACUGGGAAUCAAAUGCAGGUUUUCUGGGAGAGCAGCUACUGAGCAGUCUCUAACCACUGAGUGGUCUCUAACCUCUGAGCAGUCUCUAAUAACUGAGCAGUCUCUAACCACUGAGUGGUCUCUAACCACUGAGCGGCCUCUAACCACUGAGCAGUCUCUAACAACUGAGCAGUCUCUAACAACUGAGCAGUCUCUAACCACUGAGCAGUAUCUCUAGCCCUAAAUUUUUUUAAAGAAACACACACACACACAUACACACACACGAUUUAUCCCAAGAAUGCAAAGUUGAUUCGACAUAUAAAAAGCACUCUAUGUAAUAUACCAUACUAAUAAAAUAUAUAAUCAAACCCGCAAAAUCUCUCAAUUGACAUGGGAAAAAUAUUCAACAAGUCCAGUAUUGGUUUGAAUGAGAAUCCGCCCCCCCCCCCACUCAGAUACUUGAAUGCUUCAUCAUUAUUUAAGACGGAUUAAAAGGUUUAGG
rnacentral:sRNA from 1 species